rnacentral:ncRNA from 1 species
UGUCUUCAGGGUCAGGUGUAAUUCCGAACCGGUGGUAAAGCCCACGAGCUAUUUAGCAUGAACUAGUGAAAUUCUAGUGCCGACAGUAAAGUCUGGAUGAAAGAAGC